rnacentral:lncRNA from 9 species
CACCUUGGCUGUGAAACGGGGUGUGUGUGGAGGGCUGGUGGGGAGGGGGCAGCCUGCGGGCGGGGACGUGGAGACGCGCAGGCUGGGGGCGGCGCAGGCGGGCUGAGGGGUCCUGGGCUCGCCAGGGCCUCGUCUGGGGUUAUGACUCCCGCGGGAAGCACGACUGCUUCGGAGAGUUCUCCACCGCCUUCGAGGAGAUGCAGAAAGCCUUUGGGGAGAACCAGGUGAGCGGGCCCUCCCUGCCCUGCCUGUGGGCGAGCCGGAAGCGCUGGCCCUGGGCUGGGCUGUCCCAGAAGCUGUGAUGGCUUUAGAGAGAAGACCGGUGACGACGGCGGAGAAUGAUACCCGCUGGCCCAGCAGGGGGCUGGGGUCGGGACCCCAGGCCUGUGUGGAAGCUGGAGAAACGCCCUCCAGGGCGAGGGAUUUCAGGCUCCCCCCCGGCCCCAAGGGUGGGUGUUGGGCGGUGGCGCUCGGGAUGGGGGUCUCUGCCUGUCCCUGUCCCCCCGGCCCAGUGGGACUGUGUGAACCCCAAGUACAAGCAGAAGAGGCGCAGUUACACGAACUCGGGCGUGGCCUUGCUGGCCGACCCGAAGGUGGCCGUUGACUUCACCCUCGGAACAGCUGCUCCCUCCACUAUAUCAACUCCUUCCAGCCCAGCGAGUACCUGCAGGCCCUGGUGGCCGUGGGCGAGAUCUGCCAGGACUAUGACAGGUGCGCUGGCCUCCCCACCCCGGGCGCACCCCCGCUGUCCCCCUCACCUUCACACAGACCCGGGCUUCCGAGUCCCACUGCACAGACCAGUAAACUGGGGCUGUCGGGGCCAAGCUCCCACACCGGUGGCUCUGCCCCUUGUCUGCGCGCAUGCUGGGCAGCUCCUUUGUGGCUUUUUGCCUCAGUUUCCCCCAUGUGGCUCAGGGUGGGGCCUGGCCCCCCCAAAAGGGUCAGCCUGGUCUCCUGGUUCUGUUGAUGUCUCCCCCCCACCCCAUCCCCAGGAGACCAGGGCCCUGGGUGAUGGGGCCACCUCUCUUUCAGCGACAAGAGGCUCUCUGCUUUGGGGUUUGGAGCCCAGAUCCCUCCCAAGGAUGAGGUAGGAGGCCUGGGUCCCGGGACCCGCUGGUUGCUGCCUCCCCCCUCCCCUGGGAGCCAGCUACCGUGUGAUGGGCAGUAGACAGGGUUCAGGGACCAGCCUCUGGCCAGAGGUCUGACCUUUGACCUCCCAGCACCAGCCCAGUGAUCCUAGGGCUGAAGAUAAGCCCUGUGGCCCUGUCCGGAGAAGGGGGACAUUAGUCCAGAAUCCUCCAGUGAGAAGGGAUUUUAGCUGGCUUAAGCAGGAACUUGGUGGGGUUUAUCAGCUAAUGAAACUCAGAAGCUUCAGGUCUGGCUGGAUCCAGGGCUGGAGCGAUGCCCUAGCACUAGUCUGUCUGUCCACCCUCUGUCCCCAGUGACUCCCGCCCAUGGGAGCUCCAAACCUGCUUCCCCCAGUGGGUCAGGAUCGACUGGCUGACCGGUCCUUUCUGUGCCCGCCCAGGUGUCCCAUGACUUUGCCAUCAAUUUCAACCUGGAGGACGGUGAGUGUGAAGGUAGGAGCUCCAGGUGCCUGGGCUGGGGGUGGGGUGGCAGCGAGGCCGGCUCAUGCCCUUCCCCCCGCAGGCAUCCAGGGCAUGGUGGAGGCGUCCCAGAACUGCCUGCCCAGGGUCCAGCUGUAUGGCCACCACGUGGCUCCCAUCAUCUCCAAGGUGGCCUGCACGGCUGCAGCUGAGGAACGCAGCGGAGAGGCUCCUGUAGGUGGUGGGCGGGCACUGCGGGGACCGCGUGCCUUAGAAGGUGUGCCUGCUGCUGGGGAGGUGGGACCGGAUGGGGGUUUGCAGAGGUUGACAGAGCAGCCCGCGGGAGGCCCUGAGGCAGGGAGCGAGAGGCAGCUGGGUGGCAGUGGGGCUGAGAGACCAGGAGGCCCCAGAGCCAGUGGGGUAAGGUGAAUUCUUGCCCUGGAGGCUGACUUGCCGAGCCCGCAGGCAGCCCGAUGCUUAUGGUUCUCUUGGUCCAAUUGUGUAUACGUCGUUAUUUUUUUUUUUUUUUUUGUCUUUUUUUUGUUGUUGUUGUUGCUAUUUCUUUGGGCCGCUCCCACAGCAUAUGGAGGUACCCAGGCUAGGGGUUGAAUCGGAGCUGUAGCCACCGGCCUACGCCAGAGCCACAGCAACGCAGGAUGCGAGCUGCGGCUGCAACCUACACCACAGCUCACGGCAACGCCGGAUCGUUAACCCACUGAGCAAGGGCAGGGACCGAACCCGCAACCUCAUGGUUCCUAGUCGGAUUCGUUAACCACUGCGCCACGACGGGAACUCCCAUACGUCGUUAUUUUGUUUGCAUGUGCUCUUGUUUGGUUUUUUUGCUUUUUGAGGGUUGCACCCAAAGCAUAUGGAGGUUCCCAGGCUAGGGGUUGAAUCAGAGCUACACCUGCUGGCCUACACCACAGCCACAGCAACGCCAGAUCCUUAACCCACCGAGCAAGAGCAGGGAUCUUGCUCAACCUCACGGUUCCUAACUGGAUUCGUUUCCGCUGCACCAUGACAAGAACUCCUGUUUGCAUGUGUGUGUUUUUUUGUUUUUGUUUUUGUCUUUUUUAGGGCCACAUCUGCGGCAUGUGGAGGUUCCCAGGCUAGGGGUCUACUCGGAGCUACAGCUGCCGGCCUACACCAGAGCCACAGCAACGUGGGAUCCGAGCCAUGUCUGCCACCUACACCACAGCUCACAACAAUGGGGGAUCCUUAACGUACUGAGUGAGGCCAGGGAUCGAACCUGCAACCUCGUGGUUCCUAGUUGGAUUCGUUUCCGCUGCGCCAUGAUGGGAACUCCUGCGUGUGUUUUUAAUUUGCACAAAUAAUACUGAGCUAAAGGCUGCAUUCUACUCCAGUUUUCAUCCUGUUUUGUAGAUCUGCCCCUGCUGCUGUGGGCAUGGCUUCUCUGUUGCUUUCUUUCAAAUUUUUUUUUGAACAAAACCCUGAAAGAAUGGAGGGAGAGCCGGCAGCUUUGGCGCCCUUCCCCGGGACCUCUCCUGUCCCUGCGUGUUCCUCUUUCCUCCUUCCCGCCGUGCGAGAGCAGGCUGACCGCCCCGGAGUCCUCCGGGUCCACCUGCUCAUCUCCAGCCAGGACCCUGUGCGCGGCCGCAGUUCGGCUCUCAGGCCCACAGUGAGGGCGGUUCCCUCCUCCCACCUCGCCCCCGCGUCUCUCUGUCCCCAUCCCAGGCCCCGCAGACCCAUGUCCCAUGUCCGGGGCCCCUGACCGGAUCGUUCCUCUCAGCCCUGCUCUGUCCUCGGGCCGCCCGUCACCCGAGCCGUGCUCACCGCUGUUGCCCCUUCACCCCGUCCCACCUCGAUGCUGCGGUUCCUGAAUGGCACCCUGGCACACGUACCAGUUUCGAGUGACUGGAUUUAGAUCCAGUGCCUUAUAGAACAUCCUGCGUCUGCCUUCGCCGCCCCAGCGGUGGUUCCACUGCACUAGGAUUUGUGGCGCAGGAAAGGGUCACGUUCGGCCAUGUCCCCAUGUUAUGCUGGAGCAAGUCUCCGACACAGAAUUUCAUUUGUAAACAUUAGCAUAAACCCUGAAAGAGAGAAAAUGGAGGCCAAUGCCUUUGUCACACCUGAAACCCAGUGACAGUUCCCCGGUGUGAGAUGUCCAGCCGCCUCGUCCACCAGCGACGGCUUUUCCAGGAGGAGAAGGGUUAAAGGUCAAGGACUUCGACCUGGCGGUGGGUGUGUCCUUCCUGCUGUGAGACCCCCGGCUCCUGUGGUCCCCUGCGUAUGUCCACGAGCGCCCCCUGGAGGCUGCUGACCUUGCCCUUGGGGGCCCGCCCCUCCUGGCUCCUGCGAGG